CGAGUCGCAAGCUCGCGAGAGUAAGCUAAUCUCUUAAAGCCGUUCUCAGUUCGGACUGUAGGCUGCAACUCGCCUACACGAAGUCGGAAUCGCUAGUAAUCGCGGAUCAGCAUGCCGCGGUGAAUACGUUCCUGGGCCUUGUACACACCGCCCGUCACACCAUGGGAGUUUGUAACGCCCAAAGUCGGUGGCCUAACCUUUAUGGAGGGAGCCGCCUAAGGCGGGACAGAUGACUGGGGUGAAGUCGUAACAAGGUACC
rnacentral:rRNA from 1 species